UAUAAAAAGAGAUAGACAUACUGAUAUGUAUUUCUAACUUUAUUCUCAAGUAUUACAUAGUUUGAAUAAGUAUUUUGGUGCAUAUAAUGAAGACAUAUUGUUAUCUCAUUUACUCCACAUGAAUUGAUAGAAGUGUAUAGUUUUUGACAAGUAUAAAAGACCAUGUAAUUUCUGGUUAAAGAAUUAGUAUACAACAGUUAGGUACUAGUGCACGACGAAUCCAAACUUACGCUGAUCAAAAAUGGACUUCUUAGAGACCUUAAAUGACGUGAAGCCUGUGAUUGGCUACACAAAAAUUGAAAAUCUAUGUAUUGGAUUUAAGUAUAAGAUCACUGGAUGUAAGCUGAAAAAGACACCAUAUGGAACUAAAAUAGCUCUAUAUUUAACUGAUAAGGACGAUAAAGAUGUUUGGAUAUUUCUACCUAAAAGUUAUGUGAACAAAUUUUCUACAAAGACACCAUUUAGGAAAUUAAAUGAGAAUGGAAUAACUCAUAUGGUAUAUAAAGGGAAAGAUCUGAACAGAUUUAGUUGUGCUCAAAUUGAAUUUUUAUCAGUAAAUAAGUAAAGUAAAUAAGAUUCUUCAAUAUAAAGAGCUGAGUUUUUAAAUCCAACAACAGUCUUAAAUCAGUCUCAAAAAGAAAUAGUUGUCCUUAAAAAUGUACGCUCAACAGAUAGAACUAUUCUUGAUGCAAUUUGAAGGCAUGCUUUUCGAGCAACACCUACAAAGGAUGGAGUUCCUAAAAGCUACUUUGGAGGAUUUAGAGGAAAAAGAGUUGAUCCAUUCGAAGUUUGGAUUCCAUUAUAAACUUUGUCCCUGGAGCGACGAUGAUGCCUCAUCUGGACCAGACACAUGUCAGUGUCAUAUGCUGCCUGCACUGAAAGAGGAAGCCCUUAGUCUAAUGAUUAAAUAUUAUAAGUUAAACAAACGUAUUGCUCCAAAACCAUAAAUAAAACGAUUUAAUUUUACCUAAAUAUA